rnacentral:tRNA from 1 species
UGAAUGAUAGGUGAUCCAUGCUUGUUCCCUUUCGCUGAAGUUGAAGGAUUAGUCCCAUGCUAAUUUGGGGACACCCUGUGCCAUACACGAAUGAUUUAA